CCUACGGGUGGCAGCAGUGGGGAAUAUUGGACAAUGGGGGGAACCCUGAUCCAGCCAUGCCGCGUGUGUGAAGAAGGCCCUCGGGUUGUAAAGCACUUUCAGUGAGGAAGAACGCCUGGUGGUUAAUACCCAUCAGGAAAGACAUCACUCACAGAAGAAGCACCGGCUAACUCCGUGCCAGCAGCCGCGGUAAUACGGAGGGUGCGAGCGUUAAUCGGAAUUACUGGGCGUAAAGCGCGCGUAGGUGGCUUGAUAAGCCGGUUGUGAAAGCCCCGGGCUCAACCUGGGAACGGCAUCCGGAACUGUCAAGCUAGAGUGCAGGAGAGGAAGGUAGAAUUCCCGGUGUAGCGGUGAAAUGCGUAGAGAUCGGGAGGAAUACCAGUGGCGAAGGCGGCCUUCUGGACUGACACUGACACUGAGGUGCGAAAGCGUGGGUAGCAAACAGGAUUAGAUACCCGUUAGUC
rnacentral:rRNA from 1 species